rnacentral:misc_RNA from 1 species
AACCUUAUGGACCUGCGGGCGUAUACCUGCGGAGGGAUCAUUACCGAGUUUACAACUCCCAAACCCCUGUGAACAUACCUAUACGUUGCCUCGGCGGAUCAGCCCGCGCCCUGUAAGAAGGGACGGCCCGCCCGAGGACCCUAAACUCUGUUUUUAGUGGAACUUCUGAGUAAAACAAACAAAUAAAUCAAAACUUUUAACAAUGGAUCU